rnacentral:misc_RNA from 1 species
GUCCAGCACAUGAUGGUUCCUAUGCAAGGCACUGAGUAAACAUCUACUCUCCUUCAACCAAUGCCAUAAUUUAGAGCCCUAUUUAAUAACUCGUUCCAUUCUCUCAAAUAUUGUACCAAGACAUUGAAUCCAAUGUAAACACUAACAUUAUGGAUGGUUUUGGUUAUCUUGUUGUGCCUAGAGUUAUUUCGUGAUAAUGUUUGCAUAAUUAGGGUAUCUUUUGCUGUAGGAUGACUGUUUGAAGAAAUAUUGUAAAUCUCUGGAACGUUGUUUUCUUACUAUUUGUGGACUGGAUACUUGUCAAGGAUCAAAAAAAAAAAAA